GAUGAACGCUAGCGGCAGGCUUAAUACAUGCAAGUCGAGGGGCAGCAUGAUUGUAGCAAUACAAUUGAUGGCGACCGGCAAACGGGUGCGGAACACGUACACAACCUCCCAAUAAGUGGGGAAUAGCCCAGAGAAAUUUGGAUUAAUACCCCGUAACAUAACGAUGUGGCAUCACAUUGUUAUUAUAGAUUUUUCGCUUAUUGAUGGGUGUGCGGCUGAUUAGAUAGUUGGCGGGGUAACGGCCCACCAAGUCUACGAUCAGUAGCUGAUGUGAGAGCAUGAUCGGCCACACGGGCACUGAGACACGGGCCCGACUCCUACAGGAGGCAGCAGUAAGGAAUAUUGGACAAUGGACGCAAGCCUGAUCCAGCCAUGCCGCGUGCAGGAUGAAGGCCUUCGGGUUGUAAACUGCUUUUGUACGGAACGAAAAGACUCUGGUUAAUACCUGGGGUCCAUGACGGUACCGUAAGAAUAAGCACCGGCUAACUACGUGCCAGCCGCCGCGGUAAAAC
rnacentral:rRNA from 1 species